UGGGGAAUUUUGCGCAAUGGGGGAAACCCUGACGCAGCAACGCCGCGUGGAGGAUGAAGCCCCUUGGGGCGUAAACUCCUUUCGACCAAGACGAUAAUGACGGUACUGGUGGAAGAAGCACCGGCUAACUCUGUGCCAGCAGCCGCGGUAAUACAGAGGGUGCAAGCGUUGUUCGGAAUUAUUGGGCGUAAAGGGCGCGUAGGCGGCGCGACAAGUCACCUGUGAAAUCCCCGGGCUUAACUCGGGGCCUGCAGGCGAAACUGUCGUGCUGGAGUAUGGGAGAGGUGAGUGGAAUUUCCGGUGUAGCGGUGAAAUGCGUAGAUAUCGGAAGGAACACCUGUGGCGAAAGCGGCUCACUGGACCAUAACUGACGCUGAUGCACGAAAGCUAGGGGAGCAAACAGGACUAGAUACCCUGGUAGUCCUAGCCCUAAACGAUGACUGCUUGGUGUGACGGGUACCCAAUCCCGCCGUGCCGUAGCUAACGCGUUAAGCAGUCCGCCUGGGGAGUACGGUCGCAAGGCUG
rnacentral:rRNA from 1 species